rnacentral:lncRNA from 1 species
AAUUAUAACCUUUCUGUGCAUCUUUCAGUGGUAUUAUAUAUUCAUUUCUACUGUAUCUAACUUUUUCCUCAGCACAUCUUUGGGUUCAGUCAGAUCCUCAGGGGAAAGACACGUUUCUUCAGUCUGAUGCUGAUGGUCUUUCCCAUCUCUGUGCUCAUCUGGUCAGUGCCGUCCUGCUCUCUUCUUUAUACCUUUCAGCUUCAGUGUUUAUAUGAGGUUAUAAUAGAUGUCUAUUCUCUCUCUUUCUCUCUGCUCAGAUGAAUAGUCAUCAGUGGGAGCCUUUAUGUUUUCUGCUGUCCAGUUUCUACUUCCUCUAUGCUAAUGUGAGGCAUGGACUUCUUCACCAACUCCUGGAGACCUACAGUUUAUUCUCACAAAAAUAUACGACUCAGCUGCACUCCAAAACAGUUAAUAGGAAGGAUUUUGAAGACUGUCUGAAUUUUCUGCAGCGCCACAGUCUUCUCCUCUCACAGUGGCCGGCUCUCUUUGUACAAACGGCUCUUAAUGAAUCAUGUGACAGCUCUGCGCAUUUGUGGGCUGAAAACAUGACAAGAAAUGCAAGCGUGCAAGCUGUAAAAUGGCUAAACUACACGGAUGCAGCACACAAAGAAGUUAGGUAAAAAUACUGAGCUUUAAUACUCUUAUUCUCAUAUUGCAAGUUUAAGCUAAAUUUAAAUCUAGAUCAGGGGUGUCAAACUCAAUUCCUGGAGGGCCGAAGCCCUGCACAGUUUAGUUCCAACCCUGCUCCAACACACUUACCUGUAGGUUUCAAACAAGCUUGAAGGACUCAAUUAGUU